AGAACGAACGCUGGCGGCAUGCCUAACACAUGCAAGUCGAACGAGACCUUCGGGUCUAGUGGCGCACGGGUGCGUAACGCGUGGGAAUCUGCCCUUGGGUUCGGGAUAACGGUUGGAAACGACUGCUAAUACCGGAUGAUGUCUUCGGACCAAAGAUUUAUCGCCCAAGGAUGAGCCCGCGUAGGAUUAGCUUGUUGGUGAGGUAAGAGCUCACCAAGGCGACGAUCCUUAGCUGGUCUGAGAGGAUGAUCAGCCACACUGGGACUGAGACACGGCCCAGACUCCUACGGGAGGCAGCAGUGGGGAAUAGUUGGACAAGUGGGCGAAAGCCUGAUCCAGCAAUGCCGCGUGAGUGAUGAAGGCCUUAGGUUGUAAAGCUCUUUACCCGGGAUGAUAAUGACAGUACCGGAGAAUAACGCCCCGGACUAACCUCCGU
rnacentral:rRNA from 1 species